CCUCCUCCUCUCUGCCUCCCCAACAAUGGUGCCUUGCCUCUCCUACAUGUCCUGACCUCCUCCCAGGUUCCCUCUGCUGUGGCUUUCCACCCAAAAGUCUGUGGCAUACUGAUCCCCUGCCCUUGGUGCACUGCUCCUUAGCCCCUCAGGCUGUCCCCACAACACCAACCCCAGUCCUUUCCUGGGGACUGACCUCUGGAGUCUAAGGUUCAGCAUCCAGCCCCCAUCCCAAGCAUCUCAGGCUGUGGUGUCUGGGCUGGUGCUUCAGGUGAUCUGUGUGGCUAUCACUCUGCUUUGCUGUUCUCAGUCCUGUUGCUGCACUUUUCUUGGUGACUGUGAGGUCCCUCUGGCUUGGCUGAUCUUUCUGUCAGUUAGGUGGCUUCCCAGGGUGUGGAUUCUUUUUCUCCUUUAAGGCUCCAUCUCUGGAAUGCUAGUGCCAUCCUAAUUCCUUCUUUCUUUCUUUUUCUUUUCUUCUCCCAGUUAUGUCAAGAGUUUCUUGCCCUUUUUGGAGGUUUAAGUUCUUCUGCCAGCAUUCAGCUGAAGUUCUGUGAGAGUAGUUUACAUGUAGAUGUUAUUUUUUUUAUGUGUUUGUGGGAGAGGGUGAGUGCAAUGUUUACCCCUCCACCAUCUUGCUCUGCCCCUCUCUAGUACUUGUCUAAAGUAGUUCUUUAUUGUGCCAAUUGUGUUCUGAACAUGAUAAUGAUAAAAAUAGACCUAUUCUUCAAUUAUGCUUAGAGAUUAUAAAAUGCAUUUAUUUCAGUCAUUUAAUUUUAAUCAUACAAUAUCCAAAUGGAAGAGGAAAAUGGGCAAUUAAAUUCAUAAUUUAUAACAAAGAAAUACAAGACAGGGAAUGCAAACCUCAUUUGCCAAAGGGAAAAAAGAAGCCAGGUCAUUAAAUUCUGGGCCAGGAUGCUAGUUGGGUUCAUUACCACUGAGCCAUCAUGGGAACUCCUAUAGUUAAUUUCUAUAAUCACUGAGAACUUGUUCCUACAAAAUAAGAAUUCAAAUAACAUUUGAAUAAGUAUAUUAGUUAUGUGCCAAUAGCAUACUGGCAAGUAUAUUCUCUCUAUAUCAUAUUACACACUAUCCUAGAUACCAGUAGGCAAUAAAGCUUUCUGAGAACAAAGUGAUUUUAUACUCAGGCAUAGUAUACAGCUAUAUAAAAAGAAAAGUUUCACUGAAGGAAAGAACUUUUGAAUAACAGAACCAAUCAACUAGCAUUUUCUGGAUUAUGAAAGAGGAAUAACAGGCAACUAUCACGGACAAAAGGCCAAGAGGAAAUACACCACAAAGUCAAAAGUCUGGGUACAGAUGACAGUAACCCCAGUAAGCAGGUUGCCCAUAACAGUGACAAUAUAACUAAUAAGUAACCUUGAAAUUAGAGUUUUCUGCAACUGAGCCCUGAGUCCUAUUAGAAUGAAUUCAGUCACAUUCAUCCUGUCUUCUUUCAUUUCAAUGCCUAUGAUGAAUUCAGAAGUGGGGAAUUAACCUGUAAAGACAGUGUUUUCAAAAGCCAUGUGAUGUGUAGUAUAUAUUUAGGUUUUAUAGUUAAAUCCAAAGCAUGUUAAUCAUAGAAGCUAUUUUCAUCCACGGUGUACAAAAUAAGCAGGCAACUUUUUUUUCUAUUUCAUAAAAAGAGUGAAUUUUGAAAGCUGUCUGGUUUUGCAACUUACAAGAAUGCUCAAAUUCUUCUUCAGCACCUCUGACAGUUGUUUCCUGGUGCCUUUGUGGAGGAAAACCAGGCACGGGAACUCACCAUGUAAUAAACCUGGGUGCUACUCAGGCAAUAAGAAAUGUUGAAAACUCUUCCACAAAUAUUAAAAAAAAAUUAUGCAACUUUUGGCUCUGCUUUGACACACUGUUGAUACACAGAAGAAUUCAGCCCCCCUCCUCCAUCUAAAACCCACUUUAAUACAUCUAAGAGACAUAGGUCUGUAUCUUCUUCACUUCUUUAUAGCCAUCAUUUUCUUCAGUGUCUGAUGCAUGUGGGUGUUCAAUGAAAUUAAGUGAAUAAAUGAAUUGGAAGACUCUAAUUUCCCCUGCAUUUUCUAUUUUUAUUGCUAUCUUCAAAAAGUACAUUUACUCUCUUACUACAGAAAAUUGAAUAUAUCAUUGGGAUGUUAAUUAGACAUACUCCUCUUACCCACUGAGAUCUCUCACUCUUUGCACAACACUGAGCAGCUGUUUUUGUUGAUUUCUUCAGCCAGCUCUCUUACUUUCUGGCCAAAUGUACUAGCUGAAUAUCAGAGGGAAGGUGAGGAAAAAAGAAAGAAAGGAAAAAAAAUGGAUUGCCAUGGUGUUUAUUGUCCUGGUUCUCUGUUGUGGUUUGUCUAUGCCUGGAUACCUUUAACUGAGGCUACAUUUUUUUUUGGAUGGACCUCCUGGAUAACUGAGAUAUCUCUCUACCCUAUCUUCCAACACUUGGGGGAGUGCCCAUUGUGACAGAACAGAAAGGAAUCUGACUAGUACCAUGAGGAUGCAGUUUCAAUCCCUGGCCUUGAUCAAUGGGUCAGGGAUCUGGUGUUCCCAUGAGCUGAGGUGUAGGUCCCAGAUGAUGCUUGGAUCCUGUGUUGCUGUGGUUGUGGUGUAGGCUGGCAUCUAUA
rnacentral:lncRNA from 1 species